AUUGAACGCUGGCGGCAUGCCUUACACAUGCAAGUCGAACGGUAACAGGUCUUCGGAUGCUGACGAGUGGCGAACGGGUGAGUAAUACAUCGGAACGUGCCCAGACGUUGGGGAUAACGAGGCGAAAGCUUUGCUAAUACCGCAUACGAUCUAAGGAUGAAAGCCGGGGACCGCAAGGCCUUGCGCGUUUGGAGCGGCCGAUGGCAGAUUAGGUAGUUGGUGGGAUACAAGCUUACCAAGCCGACGAUCUGUAGCUGGUCUGAGAGGACGACCAGCCACACUGGGACUGAGACACGGCCCAGACUCCUACGGGAGGCAGCAGUGGGGAAUUUUGGACAAUGGGCGAAAGCCUGAUCCAGCAAUGCCGCGUGCAGGAUGAAGGCCUUCGGGUUGUAAACUGCUUUUGUACGGAACGAAAAGGCUCUGGCUAAUACCUGGGGCACAUGACGGUACCGUAAGAAUAAGCACCGGCUAACUACGUG
rnacentral:rRNA from 1 species